UCAUCAUGCCCUUUAUGACUUGGGCUACACACGUGCUACAAUGGCAGGUACAGAGGGAAGCGAGACUGCGAAGUUAAGCAAAACUCAAAAAGCCUGUCCCAGUUCUGGAUUGCACUCUGCAACUCGAGUGCAUGAAGUUGGAGUUGCUAGUAAUCGCAGAUCAGAAUGCUGCGGUGAAUGCGUUCCCGGGUCUUGUACACACCGCCCGUCACACCAUGGAAGUUGGCAAUACCCGAAGCCUGUGAGCGAACCUUUUAGGGCGCCGAGUCUGAAGGUAGGGUCAGUAACUGGGGUGAAGUCGUAACAAGGUAGCCGUAUCGGAA
rnacentral:rRNA from 1 species